rnacentral:lncRNA from 1 species
CAAAAGGUAUAAACAUUCACUGAUUGAAAAACAAUGUCAUAAAGUCAUCCCAGUAUCUGUGAGGAGUUGGUUCCAGGACCCCUGAGGACACCAAAAUCCUCAGAUGCUCAAGUCCCUGAUAAAAAAAUAAAAGGGUGUCUGCUCAAUUUCCCAAUCAAACUCUUCAUCGUGAACUACUUCCUCAGGAAUUUCAGAAUCACCUAUUGCUUCCACAAGUGGUUUUGCUGUCCCGGAUUUUCCUGGUGCCAGAAGAGCAACACAUGUUCAGCCCCUCAAAAUGCUGGCCAGGGGUUUCUUUGGGCAGGUGAGUGGUAAAAAUUCCUUUAUCUGCAUCAUAGGACCCUUGCUCGC